UGGAUCCAGACUUUGAUCCUGGCUCGGGACGAACGCUGGCGGCGUGCUUAACACAUGCAGGUCGAACGAGAAUCUGUGGAAAGAGGAUUCGUCCAAUUGAAGCAGAGGACAGUGGCGGACGGGUGAGUAACGCGUGAGGAACCUGCCUUUCAGAGGGGGACAACAGUUGGAAACGACUGCUAAUACCGCAUGACACAUCGGAGUCGCAUGGCUCUGAUGUCAAAGAUUUAUCGCUGAAAGAUGGCCUCGCGUCUGAUUAGCUAGUUGGUGAGGUAACGGCCCACCAAGGCGACGAUCAGUAGCCGGACUGAGAGGUUGAACGGCCACAUUGGGACUGAGAUACGGCCCAGACUCCUACGGGAGGCAGCAGUGGGGAAUAUUGGGCAAUGGGCGCAAGCCUGACCCAGCAACGCCGCGUGAAGGAAGAAGGCUUUCGGGUUGUAAACUUCUUUUGUCAGGGACGAGUAGAAGACGGUACCUGACGAAUAAGCCACGGCUAACUACGUGCCAGCAGCCGCGGUAAUACGUAGGUGGCAAGCGUUGUCCGGAUUUACUGGGUGUAAAGGGCGUGUAGCCGGGAGGGCAAGUCAGAUGUGAAAUCCACGGGCUCAACUCGUGAACUGCAUUUGAAACUACUCUUCUUGAGUAUCGGAGAGGCAAUCGGAAUUCCUAGUGUAGCGGUGAAAUGCGUAGAUAUUAGGAGGAACACCAGUGGCGAAGGCGGAUUGCUGGACGACAACUGACGGUGAGGCGCGAAAGCGUGGGGAGCAAACAGGAUUAGAUACCCUGGUAGUCCACGCUGUAAACGAUGAAUACUAGGUGUGCGGGGACUGACCCCCUGCGUGCCGCAGCUAACGCAAUAAGUAUUCCACCUGGGGAGUACGAUCGCAAGGUUGCAACUCAAAGGAAUUGACGGA
rnacentral:rRNA from 1 species